rnacentral:sRNA from 1 species
GAAACAAAGACCAAAC